CUGUAGACACGUAGUUGAUCCUAGCUCGAGGACGAACGCUGGCGGCGCGCCUAACACAUGCAAGUCGAACGAGCGAAGAGGAGCUUGCUUCUCUGAGCGAGUGGCGAACGGGUGAGUAACGCGUGAGGAACCUGCCUCAAAGAGGGGGACAACAGUUGGAAACGACUGCUAAUACCGCAUAAGCCCACGGGUCGGCAUCGACCAGAGGGAAAAGGAGCAAUCCGCUUUGAGAUGGCCUCGCGUCCGAUUAGCUAGUUGGUGAGGUAAUGGCCCACCAAGGCGACGAUCGGUAGCCGGACUGAGAGGUUGAACGGCCACAUUGGGACUGAGACACGGCCCAGACUCCUACGGGAGGCAGCAGUGGGGAAUAUUGCACAAUGGGGGAAACCCUGAUGCAGCGACGCCGCGUGGAGGAAGAAGGUCUUCGGAUUGUAAACUCCUGUUGUUGAGGAAGAUAAUGACGGUACUCAACAAGGAAGUGACGGCUAACUACGUG
rnacentral:rRNA from 1 species